rnacentral:tRNA from 1 species
GCUCCCAUCGUCUAGUCCGGCCAAGGACGUGGGGCUUUCAACCCCGCAACUCGGGUUCAAAUCCCGAUGGGAGCA